ACACAUUACAGAUUGGGAUUA
rnacentral:miRNA from 1 species